rnacentral:rRNA from 1 species
GAUGAACGCUGGCGGCGUGCUUAACACAUGCAAGUCGAACGGUAAGGCACCUUCGGGUGUACACGAGUGGCGAACGGGUGAGUAACACGUGGGGAACCUGCCCUUCUCUCUGGGAUAACUCCGGGAAACCGGUGCUAAUACCGGAUACUUCGAUCGGAUCGCAUGGUCUGACCGAGAAAGCUCCGGCGGAGAGGGAUGGCCCCGCGCCUGAUUAGCUUGUUGGUGGGGUAACGGCUCACCAAGGCGACGAUCAGUAGCCGAGCUGAGAGGCUGAUCGGCCACACUGGGACUGAGACACGGCCCAGACUCCUACGGGAGGCAGCAGUGGGGAAUCUUGCGCAAUGGGCGAAAGCCUGACGCAGCAACGCCGCGUGCGGGAUGAAGGCUCUCGGGUCGUAAACCGCUUUCAGCAGGGAUGAAACUGACAGUACCUGCAGAAGAAGCCCCGGCUAAAUACGUGCCAGCCGCCGCGGUAAAAC